GAUAGCAAUAUGUACUUCCCAAGCAGCAAUUUGGCGAAGAAUAUAAAGCUAAGUGAUCAUGAAGAAGUUAAAUUUCCUUCAUCUCCUACCUGCUGUGGUACUUCUUUUCUGCCUUGUUGCCAUUUCUUACCCUAGAGUGUUAAAUGCUAUUCUUCCAGAUGUGGGAGCAAGUUCGGAUGUGCCAGUUCCUAAUCCAGCAAUUAUUCCUCCUCAUGCUGUUUUAUCCAACCGUUUUUUCUAGUAAUUCAAGAGAUGAACACGUCUCUUCAAUCGAGAGAUGAUAAAACAACUCCUUGUAAUAGCCUGCCAGAAAAAGAGCCAUGUGCCAUAUGAUAAUGUGGUAAUUGAAUAAGGACGGUCGUGCUCUCGAUUGGAUUUCUAGUUUA